AUUGAACGCUGGCGGCAUGCCUUACACAUGCAAGUCGAACGGCAGCGGGGGAGAAGCUUGCUUUUCCUGCCGGCGAGUGGCGAACGGGUGAGUAAUACAUCGGAACGUGCCCUGUAGUGGGGGAUAACUAGUCGAAAGAUUAGCUAAUACCGCAUACGACCUGAGGGUGAAAGUGGGGGACCGCAAGGCCUCAUGCUAUAGGAGCGGCCGAUGUCUGAUUAGCUAGUUGGUGGGGUAAAGGCCUACCAAGGCGACGAUCAGUAGCGGGUCCGAGAGGAAGAUCAGCCACACUGGGACUGAGACACGGCCCAGACGCCUACGGGAGGCAGCAGUGGGGAAUUUUGGACAAUGGGCGAAAGCCUGAUCCAGCAAUGCCGCGUGUGUGAAGAAGGCCUUCGGGUUGUAAAGCACUUUUGUCCGGAAAGAAAUGGCUCUGGUUAAUACCUGGGGUCGAUGACGGUACCGGAAGAAUAAGGACCGGCUAACUACGUGCCAGCCGCCGCAGUAA
rnacentral:rRNA from 1 species